rnacentral:rRNA from 1 species
GGGCCCGCACAAGCGGUGGAGCAUGUGGUUUAAUUCGAUGCAACGCGAAGAACCUUACCAGGUCUUGACAUCCAACGAAUCUUUAGGAAACUAGGGAGUGCCUUUAUAGGAACGUUGAGACAGGUGGUGCAUGGUUGUCGUCAGCUCGUGUCGUGAGAUGUUGGGUUAAGUCCCGCAACGAGCGCAACCCUUGCUAUUAGUUGCUAACAGGUAAGGCUGAGCACUCUAAUGGGACUGCCUGUGACAAGCAGGAGGAAGGUGGGGAUGACGUCAAAUCAUCAUGCCCUUUAUGAUCUGGGCUACACACGUGCUACAAUGGAUGGUACAGAGAGCGGCGAGGCCGUGAGGCGGAGCGAAUCUCAAAAAGCCAUUCUCAGUUCGGAUUGCAGUCUGCAACUCGACUGCAUGAAGUCGGAAUCGCUAGUAAUCGCGAAUCAGCACGUCGCGGUGAAUGCGUUCCCGGGCCUU